rnacentral:rRNA from 1 species
UACGAAGGGGGCUAGCGUUGUUCGGAUUUACUGGGCGUAAAGGGCGCGUAGGCGGCAAUUCAAGUCACUUGUGAAAUCUCCGGGCUUAACUCGGAACGGUCAAGUGAUACUGCUUUGCUAGAGUGCGGAAGGGGCAAUCGGAAUUCUCGGUGUAGCGGUGAAAUGCGUAGAUAUCGAGAGGAACACCUGAGGUGAAGACGGGUUGCUGGGCCGACACUGACGCUGACAGCGCGAAAGCCAGGGGAGCAAACGGG